rnacentral:rRNA from 1 species
AGUGAACGCUGGCGGUAGGCCUAACACAUGCAAGUCGAACGGCAGCACAGUAAGAGCUUGCUCUUACGGGUGGCGAGUGGCGGACGGGUGAGGAAUACAUCGGAAUCUACUUUUUCGUGGGGGAUCACGUAGGGAAACUUACGCUAAUACCGCAUACGACCUACGGGUGAAAGCAGUGGAUCUUCGGACCUUGCGCGAUUGAAUGAGCCGAUGUCGGAUUAGCUAGUUGGCGGGGUAAAGGCCCACCAAGGCGACGAUCCGUAGCUGGUCUGAGAGGAUGAUCGGCCACACUGGAACUGAGACACGGUCCAGACUCCUACGGGAGGCAGCAGUGGGGAAUAUUGGACAAUGGGCGCAAGCCUGAUCCAGCCAUACCGCGUGGGUGAAGAAGGCCUUCGGGUUGUAAAGCCCUUUUGUUGGGAAAGAAAAGCAGCAGGUUAAUACCCCGCUGUUCUGACGGUACCCAAAGAAUAAGCACCGGCUAACUUCGUG